UAUGGGUCACAUUGUGUGUGGGGCACAUCUCUGGGGCACAUCUCUGGGGCACAUGUGUGGGGCACAUGUGUGGGGCACAUCUAUGGGGCACAUCAUCUGUGGGGCACAUGUGUGGGGCACAUCUAUGGGGCACAUGUGUGGGGCACAUCAUCUCUGGGGCACAUCUCUGGGGCACAUCAUCUCUGGGGUACAUCUGUGGGGCACAUGUGUGGGGCACAUGUGUGGGGCACAUCAUCUAUGGGGCACAUGUGUGGGGCACAUCAUCUAUGGGGCACAUGUGUGGGGCACAUAUCUGUGGGGCACAUAUCUAUGGGGCACAUCUCUGGGGCACAUGUGUGGGGCACAUCUGUGGGGGACAUCUCUGGGGCACAUGUGUGGGGCACAUCUAUGGGGCACGUGUGGGGCACAUCAUCUCUGGGGCACAUGUGUGGGGCACAUGUGUGGGGUGUAUCUAUGGGGCACAUCUAUGGGGCACAUGUGUGGGGCACAUCUCUGGGGCACAUGUGUGGGGCAGAGGUGUGGGGCACAUCUAUGGGGCACAUCUAUGGGGCACAUCAUCUAUGGGGCACAUGUGUGGGGCACAUGUGUGGGGUGUAUCUAUGGGGCACAUGUGUGGGGCACAUGUGUGGGGCACAUCAUGUGUGGGGCACAUCAUGUGUGGGGCACACGUGUGGGGCACAUCAUCUCUGGGGCACAUCAUCUCUGGGGCACAUGUGUGGGGCACAUGUGUGGGGUGUAUCUAUGGGGCACAUGUGUGGGGCACAUGUGUGGGGCACAUCCAUGGGGCACAUCAUCUCUGGGGCACAUCUAUGGGGCACAUCAUCUCUGGGGCACAUCUCUGGGGCACAUGUGUGGGGCACAUCUAUGGGGCACAUGUGUGGGGCACAUCAUCUAUGGGGCACAUGUGUGGGGCACACGUGUGGGGCACAUGUGUGGGGCACAUCCAUGGGGCACAUCUUCUAUGGGGCACAUGUGUGGGGCACAUCUCUGGGGCACGUGUGUGGGGCACAUGUGUGGGGCACAUCUAUGGGACACAUCUCUGGGGCACAUCAUCUCUGGGGCACAUGUGUGGGGCACAUCAUCUGUGGGGCACACGUGUGGGGCACAUCUCUGGGGCACAUCUAUGGGGCACAUCUAUGGGGCACAUCUGUGGGGCACAUCAUCUGUGGGGCACAUCUAUGGGGCACAUCUCUGGGGCACAUGUGUGGGGCACAUCUCUGGGGCACAUGUGUGGGGCACAGGUGUGGGGCACAUCAUCUCUGGGGCACAUCUUCUCUGGGGCACAUGUGUGGGGCACAUGUGUGGGCUGUAUCUAUGGGGCACAUGUGUGGGGUGUAUCUAUGGGGCACAUGUGUGGGGUGUAUCUAUGGGGCACAUGUGUGGGGCACAUGUGUGGGGCACAUGUGUGGGGCACACAUCUCUGGGGCACAUGUGUGGGGCACAUCUCUGGGGCACAUGUGUGGGGCACAUCUAUGGGGCACAUGUGUGGGGCACAGGUGUGGGGCACAUCUAUGGGGCACGUGUGGGGCACAUCAUCUCUGGGGCACAUGUGUGGGGCACAUGUGUGGGGUGUAUCUAUGGGGCACAUCACAUCAUCUGUGGGGCACAUCAUCUAUGGGGCACAUCUAUGGGGCACAUUGUGUGUGGGGCACAUCUAUGGGGCACAUCAUCUGUGGGGCACAUCUAUGGGAAACAUCUAUGGGGCACAUAUGUGUGGGGCACAUGUGUGGGGCACAUGUGUGGGGUACAUCUAUGGGUCACAUUGUGUGUGGGGCACAUCUCUGGGGCACAUCUCUGGGGCACAUGUGUGGGGCACAUGUGUGGGG
ensembl:lncRNA